rnacentral:rRNA from 1 species
UUUUACGGGCAGACGGUGGAUGCCUAGGCGCAGAGUGCCGAUGAAGGACGGUGCAGGCCACGAUAGGCCCUGGGUAGGCGCCAGCAGCCGAUGAUCCAGGGAUUUCCGAAUGGGGGAACCCGCGUGCGGUCAUGCGCACGCAUCCCGUAUGGGAGGGGCACCGGGGGAACUGAAACAUCUAAGUACCCCGAGGAGAAGAGAUCACCGAGAGACCGGUAGUAGUGGCGAGCGAACGCGGUCAAGUCCAAACCGAGCGACGCUUAGUGGGUUCGCGCCCUAUGCCCGCUUGGGGUUGUGCGGCUUGUUGGGGGGAUCCCGCGAAGGUUCCCGCCUGGUUGGUGUACGUUGACGAGAACAGUCUGGAAAGGCUGGCCGAAGAGGGUGAAAGCCCCGUACUGGUAGUCGUACACACGGGUACAACAGGUUCGCGAGUACCACGGGGGAAGAGUAGCCCCGUGGGAAGCUGGGGCGACCACGCUCCAAGGCUAAGGUACGCUCUGCGACCGAUAGGGAACGAGUACCGUGAGGGAAAGGUGAAAAGCACCCCGGCGAGGGGAGUGAAAUAGUUCCUGAAACCGUCUGCCUACAGUCGGUACGAGGGCGGUGCCCGUAAGGGCUGCCUGAGUGCGUGCCUCCUGAAGAAUGAGCCGGCGAGUGGAUCGGCGUCGCCAAAGGCUAAGGACGGUGGACGUCUGGAGCCGUAGCGAAAGCGAGUGCGAAUAGCGCGACUAGGUGGCGUCGAUCCGACCCGAAACCGGGUGAGCUACCCAUGGGCAGUGUGAAGGUUCGGUAACACGAACUGGAGGCGCGGACCCACCAAUGUUGCAAAAUUGGGGGAUGACCUGUGGGUAGAGGAGAAAUUCCAAUCGAACCCGGAGAUAGCUGGUUCUCCCCGAAAUGGAUUUAGGUUCAGCCCGAUGAGUUGACACCCGUAGGAGGUAGGGAUGCUGGAUGUGUGCGGGCCCUUGGCGGGUACCAAAUGCAACCAAACCGCGAAUGCCUACGGGUGCGAGUCGGAGUGAGACGGUGGGUGCGAAGAUUCAUCGUCGAGAGGGAAACAGCCCAGACCGCCAGCUAAGGGCCCCAAGUGCAGGCUUUAGUGGUAAAGGAGGUCGGUGUGCAUAGACAACCAGGAGGUUGGCUUAGAAGCAGCCACCCUUUAAAGAGUGCGUAACAGCUCACUGGUCGAGUGCACCGGCGCCGACAAUGUAACGGGGCUAAGCCUGCCCCCGACGCUGCGGGUGUAGUCAUUUGAUUACGCGGUAGGGGAGCGUUCCACGGGCGUUGAAGGUAGAUCGUGAGGACUGCUGGAGCGCGUGGAAGUGCGAAUGCCGGCAUGAGUAGCGUAUUGACCGUGCGAACCGGUCACACCGGAAGCCUAAGGGUUCCUGAGGACGGUCCAUCCACUCAGGGUUAGCCGGGCCUAAGCCAAGCCUAGUAGUAAGCUAGGGUAGGCGAUGGACAACGGGUUGAUAUUCCCGUGCCACCAUUAGAUCGUUUGACCGAUGCGGGGACCCGGUAGGUAGUUGCCCGCGAAUCGUUGGCUUGUUCGUGUAAGCCUGUGACGCGCUGGGGAGCGAAGUUCUUCCUGGCUAAGGGUGAGACCCUGAGCGUGAGAGGGGAUGCCGAGAGUGCGGCUUCGGCCAAUCUCAAGGGGUAACGGGCCACGCCGGCAAGAAAAGCCGCUAGGGAGAUCUUUUGGUGCCCGUACCGCAAACCGACGCAGGUAGGCUGGGAUGAAGGUCCCGAGGUGAACGGGAGACCCUCAGCGAAGGAACUCGGCAAAUUGGCCCCGUACCUUCGGAAGAAGGGGCGCCACUUGGUGUGUAGGCCCUCGCGGCUCGAAGCACCUGGGUGGUCGCAGGGAACUGGCUCAACCGACUGUUUACCAAAAACACAGGUCUCCGCGAAGUCGUAAGACACCGUAUGGGGGCUGACGCCUGCCCGGUGCCAGACGGUUAAGAGGAGGGGUUCACGCUCUGAAUCGAAGCCCUGGUGAACGGCGGCGAUAACUAUAAUCGUCCUAAGGUAGCGAAAUUCCUUGUCGGGUAAGUUCCGACCCGCACGAAUGGCGUAACGAGUUGAGCGCUGUCUCCGCUGAGGACCCGGCGAAAUUGCAGUGCCCGUGCAGAUUCGGGCGUCCUGUGGCAGGACAAAAAGACCCCGUGGAGCUUUACUCCACCUUGCCAUUGCGCCGCGACCGUGCAUACGUAGGAUAGGUGGGAGGCUUUGAAGGAGCGCUUUUGGGCACUCUGGAGCCGACGGUGAAAUACCACUUUUGCGUGGCUGUGGCGCUCACGCGUUGAGCUAUAUCGCUAACGCGGACCCUGGCAGGCGGGGAGUUUGACUGGGGCGGUCGCCUCCCAAACAGUAACGGAGGCGCCCAAUGGUCUUCUCAGCGCGGAUGGUAACCGCGCUCCCUAGAGUGUACGGGCAGAAGAAGGCUUGACUGUGAGGCGGACGUGCCGAGCAGGUGCGAAAGCAGGGCCGAGUGACCCUACGUCCCCUAGUGGACGGGACGUGGAUUAACGGAUAAAAGCUACCCCGGGGAUAACAGGCUUAUCCUGCCCAAGAGUUCACAUCGACGGCAGGGUUUGGCACCUCGAUGUCGGCUCGUCGCAUCCUGGGGCUGUAGUCGGUCCCAAGGGUUGGGCUGUUCGCCCAUUAAAGCGGUACGCGAGCUGGGUUCAGAACGUCGUGAGACAGUUCGGUCUCUAUCCGCCACAGGCGUUGGAUACUUGACCGGAGCGGUCCCCAGUACGAGAGGACCGGGACGGACCAACCGCUAGUGCGCCAGUUGUCUCGCCCGAGGCAUCGCUGGGUAGCUACGUUGGGAAGCGAUAAGCGCUGACAGCAUCUAAGCGCGAAGCGCACCGGAAGAUGAGGUAUCCCUGCAGAGGUGGGUAACUGCUUCUGUGAGAGUCCCCCUGGAGAUCACAGGGUUGCUGGCCGGCAGGUGUAAGCACAGUAAUGUGUUCAGCCAAGCCGGACUAAUGGACGAUGGGCUU